UUCAAAUGGGGACCUUUUCAUCCUGUAAUGGCCUCUCUUUUUAGGAAAAAAACUGAGGGAGAACUGUAGCAUCUGUUUCUAGAAAAGAAACUUAGGAUUCCCAGCAAUAUCAGAAGUUAAGUAGUUAGAAACUGGGCAGAUCUCUGGCAGAAGAUCCCCACCUGUGGACCUUAGAAAAUUCAUUCAUAAACAGUGUUCAUCCAUUAGCUAAGCCAGGAACAUCCCUAUCUGAAUAUUUGGCUACAUCCAAAGUAUUGUAGUGGAUGCAACAGAGCAUACCCAAAGAAUGCCUUAUAUCAGUGGUGUGGACUGCUACACAAGCCUUAAAGGACCCAAAAGACCACAAUAGCAUUGGGAUGCGAUGCUCACCCUGAAGGCAAGUGUGGUGGCUUGACCUGUGAUUUUAUUAUCCAGGUACUAGGAUAUGGCUUACUUUGAUAAUCCUAUCUUCUUCACUCUCUGAAAUGGGAAUAAAUAAAACAUUAUUAUAAGAUACUAUGAAGUGUGAAUAGAUACACUAAUACAGGAAGCAAUGGGUAGUGUUUGCUAUAUUUAUUAGUAAAACUUUUCUUACUUUCUAUUACCUUCCUUUCUUCCCUCCCUUUCUUUUUUUCUUUCCCUUUUCCUUCCUUUCUUUCAAUUCCUUCUUAAUCACAAUAUCAUCUCUUAGAUGAUCAUCUAAACUUCUAAAAAGAAUAUUUAGAUUUACCAUUCUGUCCAUUGUACUUUAGAUAGAACUGUAAACAAUUCAGCAUUAUCUGUCAUUUUAGGGCACUUAGCCUCAUGGUCAAUGUCCUAGUUUGAGCCACUGCUGUGAUGUAACACCAUGAUCAAAAGCAACCCGGGGAGAAAGGGUGUUUAUUUCUCUUAUAGUCCAAAUAACAGUACAUCAUCAAAAGCAGGUCAGGAACUCAAACAGGACAGGAACCUGGAGGCAGGAGCUGUUGUAGAGGCCAUGGAGGGGUGCUGCUUACUGGCUGGCUCCCCAUGGUCUGCUCAGCCUGCUUUCUUUUAGACCAGGACCAACAGCCCAGGAAUGGCACACUGACAAUGGGCUGGACCUUCCUCCAUCAAUCACUAAUUAAGAAAAUGCCUUACAGCUGGAUCUUUACGGUGGAGUUUUCUCCUGGAGGCUCAAGUUGACACAAAGCUAGCAUACCCAGCACUGAAAUAGACAACUAUUUUGUGAUUUUUGUUCUCCAUCUGAAUUUUAGGCAACUGGCUUCUAGUCAUUCUAUUAAUAUCUGUUCUCGAUUACGUCAGAUACGAGGAAUGAAAUUCUAAGAAAUAUUGUUUUAAUCAAACAUUCAAAGCAUGUUUAUCAGGCCACAAAGAUGUCAAGGAAGUGAGUAAAGACACUGACAACCAAGCCUGAUGGCCUGAGGUUGAUUCUCAGAACCCACAUGGGAGAAGAAAAGAACUGACAGUCUUGGGAGUUGUCCUCUUACCACAUUUACACUGUAGCUCACGUGUAAAUAAAUGUAAAAAAGAAGAAGAAGAAAGAAAAAUAUGCAUAUCGGUGCAUAUUAUUGAAAAUCUGGAAGCAGGAUGCAACUCUGGGUGAAUUUAAUUCUCAGGCUCAACAAUGUCAUCAAUGGGGGUGGGGGUACUGGUUUUUCUUACCAAAAGUGAGGUUCAUUGUGAGGUGGUCUCAUCUGUAGGUGUCAUCUGGUUUGGCUGCUGACAAAUUCCAUGUGUGUCCUAGCAUAGUCUGAGAGAUAGCCAUUGUGGGGAGUGCUAACAAAAAGCAAGACGCUUUCUUCCUAAUCACUAAGCUGUCCCCAGUUCUGCUGGCCUAGCUUUUGUACCAUGCACUCUUGAAGCAAUUUCUGUGCUAGGGGAGAGGUGGUAGCGACUGGUUUAGACUCAAGCUGCAUAUUCAUCCUCAAUGGGAAAAGUGUCACAUUCUAUCUGGUUCAGAGCAUGGUGGCUCAUUGGAGGUAUGACUACCUGGAAAAGGGAAAUCAGGCCAGUCGCAACAAUGGAUGAUGAAUGAAUACCAGGAAAGCCUUUUCGACUCCAAUGAGGUAACUGUGCCACCUAAUAAGCUAGGAUUUAGCAUUUCUAAGAGCAUUCUGUUAUCACUUACUGCCCAAGGCUGGAUUGAUGAUUUGGGGUUUUGUUUGUUAUCUGUUUUGUGUUAACAGCAUAACGUAUGCCUCAUAUAAGCCUUAGGCUCACGAGUACGAACUGUGCCCAGGACUGAGUCAGAAGACUCUAGCCAUGGAAAAUUCAUAUUAGACAUGAUUGUGAAGGGCUGAGUGCUCAUAAAGGCAUAUCCAUAUAUAUUAAAAGCAAUCCCUUAUGGUGCCCUACUUUCAGAAGGGAAUUUUAGGGGGAUGAGGGAGAAUUAAGAGAGUCUGUGAAUACAAAGCACGUUAUAUGUAUGUACAUAAAUGUCACAGUGAAACUGACUAUUUUGCACAGUGAAUAUACACUUAAUAAUUUUUUAGGAAAACAGAAAUUCUAGUAGGAUUGGGCUUUAACAACGUGCACAAAUGUUUGUAUAUUUUUCAUGUCAGCUUCUAACUAAUCUGAGGAACUGGAAAAGGACAAUUUUUAAUUUUUAAGGUAAGUAGAGGGCUCUAAAUUCUAACUGGUAUCACUGUGAUGCUCGGCAGUUUCCAGAUUUUUUUCCUCCACUAAGUUAUACAGGUAGGAGGCGUUCUCUGAGGACAGAUUUCUAUGGGGACACUAAGUACUCCUGUUACUACUUUAGCUGUAUAUACACUUAUUCAAAAAUUACACGAGAAUUCAAAUCAGUGACAGAUUCUUCUCUAUAUCCCUUACUUGUCUUAUUGCUAGGAUAAAAUGGCCGACUGUGAACUUAAGGAAGGAAGCACACCUGUGUGCUGUCAGUUCCUCAGGCUAUCACCAAGGCAGAGAUGGCAUCACAGUCAGUAUAAUGUUUCAACUUCAGGCCUCUAAGCACACCUAUGAGGUAUAAUAUAGACAGAGCCUAGUUUCUGAGAAUGUCUCUGAGGAAUUGCCUUGAUGAAGCUAAUUAGUAACGUGAGGGGCCUUAUUAACUGUGAGCAGAAUAUCAAGAAUUCCUUGCUGGCUGGAGAUCAGGACUGUAUACAUUGGAAAGGGUAAGUUGACAUGCUCAUGUCUAGUGCUUUCUGCCCUUGACUGUGGAUACAAAACACUAUGACCUGCUAUCUCUCCUACUACUGUAACUUCCCUUCAGGGAUGGGCUAUAACCUGGAGCUGUGAGAUAAAACAAACCCCCUUUUCACCAUGUCACUUUUGGCUGGUAUGUUGCCAUCGCAACAAGGAUAAGAAGCCAAGAGAGAAGCUAUGGCAGUAGCAGGAAACAUUACACUACAUUUACCACCAGGAAGCAAAAAGCAAUGAUGAACUCUAGUGUUCAACACACUUUCUCAUUUUUUUGUUUUAAACAUUUAUUUAUUUUAUAUAUGUGAGUACACUGUUGCUGUCUUCAGACACACCAGAAGAGGCCAUCAGAUCCUAGUACAGAUGGUUGUGAGCCACCAUGUGGUUGCUGGGAAUUGAACUCAGGACCUCAGGAAGAGCAGUCAGUGUUCUUAACCACUAAGCCAUCUCUCCAGCCCUACUUUCUCCUUUUUAUUCAGCCCAUGAUCUCAACUCAUGGAACGAUAGUGUCCACAAUUAGAGUAAAUUUGUCCUUCAAUUUUCCUUAUCUACAUAACCCCUUAUAGACAUGGCCAGAGAUUUGUUCUCAUGAUGAUUAUAAAUCCCAUUAAAUCGGCAAACCAAGUUAGCCACCCAAUUCCCAAACCUUUGUUUUGCAUUAGGCAGAUGAGGUUAGAUUAUGCUACAGUAAGAAACAACUCUGAGGCCAGUGAGAUGGUUCACUGGGUGAGGGUCCCUGGCUCCAAGCCUGAUGACCCAAGUUCCACUCCCAGAAUCCACAUGGUGGAAGUGGAGAACCGACGUUAGAAAGUUAUCUAUUGACCUAUGUACAAGCUGUGCCAUGUAUGCAUAUAUGUCCACAUAAACAUGCACACACACAUACACGGAACAUAUAUGUGUGUGUAUGUGUGUUCAUGUGCACAUGUAUAUCAUACAUGUGAAUAUAUGAUGUACAUGGCAUAUAUGUUGCAUGUGUAUGUGCAUAUGUAUAUUAUACACAUAUAUGUAUUUUUUUAAGGAAACAACUCAAUGCUUGAGCAGAGAAAUAAUUUCUUUAUCAAUGUGACCUUACAGCAGAAGGGACCUCCCAGGCACCUGGCUAGCAGAGAAAAGUUACACACUAAGUCUCACAUCUGGGCAGAGUUAGUAUUUCAAAUUGAAAACUUGUUAUUAUGUCCCCAGAAUGCCACCUAUCAGUUGGUUCCUAUUUUAUAACAAAUAUAAGUCACACAGAUUAUACUACUUGAGGACAGGGGAAAGUAAUACCACUAUAUGCUCUGAGAAGGGGAGAUGGAGAUUUUUAUGAAAGCCUUAAUUACCAUUGCUGAUUUAAAAAGAGAGAAAAGAAUCGUUUGUGAAAACUGAGUUCUGAGCCCCUCAGUGUUUAGUUUUUAGUUAGUUAUGUCUCCUAGUUUCUAAUAAAGCUGAUGGGAGUCCUCUCGGGUCAGUUUCUCCAUGUGUGCCAGGCAGAAAGAAGGAUUUUAUAAUACUCUGAUGCUUAUUGUUCUGAUAGCUUUGAUAGUCAACUUGACACAGCCUAGAGUCAUCUGAGAGGAGAAACUUCAACUGAGGACUUGCCUAAAUCAGACUGGACCAUGGAAAUAUCUAUGGGAGAUUGUCUUGCUUAAUAAUUGAUGUAGGAGGGCUCGUUCUUAGGCAAUUGGUCUUGGGCAGUAUACAAAAACCUAGCUGAGUAAAAGCCUAUGAAUGUCUGAGCCAGCAAGCAGCAUUCCUCAAUGGUUCCUGUUUUAAGAUCCUGCUGAGUUCCUGCCCUGACUUCCUUCAAUGAUGUUCAAGACACAGAACUAUCUAAAUAAAUCCUUUCUUCCCCUCAUGGCUUUGUUUAUGAUAUUUGUCUCAGCAAUAGAGAUUGUGGUGAUUUAAAUAUGUUUGACCCAGUGAGUGGCACUAUUAGGAGGUGUGGCCUUGUUGGAAUAGGUGUGGCUUUGUUGGAAGAUGUGUAUCACUAUCAGGGUGGGCAAUGAAACCCUCUUCCUAACCACAUGGGAGCCAGUCUUUUCCUAGUGUCCUUAAGAUGAAGAUGUAGAACUCUCAGCUCCUCUUGGACUGCGCCUGCCUGGAUGCUGCCAUGUCCUUGCCUUGAUGAUAAUGGACUGAACCUCUGAACCUGUAAGCCAGCCCUAAUUCAGUGACGUUUUUAUAAGAGUUGCUCUGGUCAUGGUGUCUGUUCACAGCAAUAAAACCCUAAGUAAUAACAGGUAAAACUAGAAAACAUGUUGUCUGCAUACUUUAGUUUGGCAGACUAAAAUAUUGUUAUAUAAAUAAAAGCACUACAAAAUGAAAAUUGAUUUCAAAGGACCCAGUGAAGACCCAGACUAAAACUCAGUUAACCACCUAAUAUUAGUCAAUACAUACCUACAUAUGUGUAUUUAUAAAGUUUUAGAGUAACUGAAAUUCUAACUACAUCUGUUUAUAAUACAAAACAUUAUAUUAAUUUCUGUUUUGACUGCAAUUUUUUUAUUUUGUUUUUUCAAGAUAAUGUUUCUCUGUAUGGCCCUGGCUGUCCUGGAACUUGCUCUGUAGAUCAGGCUAGACUCAGAGAUUGGCCUGCCCCUGCCUCCUGAGAGCUGGAUUUAAGAUUUAUAUUGGCAGUCUAAUGAAAUCACUGAGUGCAUUAAAUAAAAGGCAUGUCAUUGCGAAGGUUAUGAGCCUCCGUCUCCCCUUGGCAUCUUCUAGAGAGAAAAAGAGAAAGGGAGAGGGAGAGGGAGAGAAAAUGUAUAUGUCUAUUCCACAGAGAGGAUGAAUGGAAACCAGAGGACAUCUUGUGUGAGUCCACUCUCUCCUUCUACUAUGUGGGUCUUGGAAAUUAGAGUCAGUUCAUCAGGUUUGGCAGCAAGUUCCUCUUCCCGCUAAGCCAACCAUCUCUUAUAUUCUGAUACCACAUCUAUUAGCAAGGAUGAAAGAACUAACUGUGGUUUUCAUUUUCAACCUAGCUGUAUUCAUAUAUCCAACCCUUUCCCCACAUUGGGCUUCAAGCUAACUCCACUCUUCUUUCCACACUCUGGGAUUUCCCGGGGUUGCACCUGUUUCCAGUGUUUUUGUGCUUCAACCUAGACUCCAGGAAGAGUUGGAACACUGAUCUUGGCCUAUUCCUUAUUUUGUCCCAGAAGAAGAUGAAGCUUCCCUUGCCCUAGCCACUAUGUCAUGUGGAGACAGCACCAGAUGGCUUUCUACUGUUGUAGCCAUUGACACUGCAUGGACAGUAGACCUGCCUGAAGGACUGGGUCCAGGUUCCACUACCUAGUGGCUCUUGGGUAAAUCCCACCCACUUUUGAACUUAUUAUCUCUCUUCUCUCAAAAGUAGGAACAAAGGAUAUAAUCUUCAUAGAGCCAAUUCAAGCAUCACCUAGAGAGCCCGACACAAAGUGUGCUCUGGAACCAACACUGACUGUGUGAAGCCAUUGGGUAGGACUCACAAGAAGUCAUGAACUGUAGCACCCGUUCCCCAGCUCUACGUGCAAGUUUGCUUCCUUGGGGGUUAGAGUUCAGGGAGGAAAAGUUCUAACUGUUGCCAGAUUGGAGAGAAAGGAGAGCAAAAGCUAGCUAAGACAUCAGGACAGCAGCCAAGUGGUCUGGUCUGAGGCUCAACUGUGCUUCAGGCUCAGCUGGCUGCAAUGCUGGGCUCCACACCAAGACACACCCCAGAAUGCCACCUGAGGCAGGCUUCUUCCAGCCUCCCUUUGCCAGGCUAACAACUACAGGUUCCGCCCAAAAGAGGAACAGAACUCUCUAACAAGUUCUUCACCACUGCACUAGAGGGUGGGUUGUACAUAGUACAUAGUGAUGUUUUAUCUCUUGCCAUCUUAAGGCUUUAUGUGGCCACCCCUGUAGAGGGGCUGGCAUGGGUUGAUGCUCUCUGAAGCAGUCUGUCUUCCUCAGUUUGUAAACAUUUGCUUUUCCUGUUCACUUCAGCACUGUCCUGUAAAACUACACUCACCCUUUACUUCACGGAAACCCUACUUUGGGCAGAAAUAUGCCACUUGACUCACCCAGCAAGAAGUACCUAUAGGCUGACAGGGGUUUGGGCCCAGAUUCCCAGCCUCAGUUGAAGCUUUAAUUUCUUGGCCAACCACCACGGAGGGCCUGAGCCCAUUAGAGGCACAUUGUGAGAGGGAUCAGUCUUCACAGAAGUACAGGGCUCCUUCUCCCAGUGGCAUUCCAUGUAGACCAGACCCAGUAUAUGGAAUUGAGUCUGUUCUUGCAGGUGCCCUCCAUCUGUGACAGGGCAGAAUGAGGUUUUCUGUAAUACUGCGUGAAAUGGAUGAGGGGAGGUGGAACCCAGGCUAAGGACUCAUUUUUCUUGUUGCCAUAUUUCUUUGCUUGUUAUACUUUCUUUAGACCCUCGAGCUCUUGUCAGUGACCCGUUUUCUGAAUGGAGACGUCGCUGCUUUGAAGUCAUAAUUUAUCUGGCAAGAGCAGCUAAAUGAAGCACUUUUUAGCUUGCAUCUGAAAGAAGACUGGGAGUUGUAAGUCACCUCCCAGCACUUGGGUAAAUUGCAAAGAGGAGAGUCCACUUACCCCAGGGAGUCAAUUUUUACUUAUUGCCUUUUCCUCUGAACAUUUUUUCUCAAACAUUUUUCUCGCCCUUGCUUUCAUUGCAAAUUCUGAGUUAGGCUGUUCAAAUUAGGUGUUUCUGAUUUAUUCAUGGCAUGUAGUUAGCCAUGAGGUAACACGUGACUCCUUUAUCAUUAAAAGCUAAACAAGAGUCUUGAAAUUCGGCCUAUAGAAAGCCUAGGGACACAUUACAUUUUUCCUAACUAUUCAAAGACAAUUACAUUCAAUAUAAAAUCUUUCUUUAUCAGCCUGUAAGAUGGACAAUUAGGAGGUUUGACUGCAUCUCUGUGCCUGGAUUCAAGUCACUUCCUUAUCAACGAUUAGCACUGUGACCUUAGGCAAACUCCUGAGCCUUUCUGUGUCUUGGUUUUCACGGUUGGGAGGCAAAAGAUAUCUGGCUUCAUUUCAUGCGAUCCUGGCUGGAUCUAAAGCCAAGUAUUUGUUAGAGAAUGUAAAGCCAUCUUUCUGAACGACUGAAUAUAAUGCAGCUGCCUUCGUUUCUCCAUCUCCAAGCACUACACCUACAAUACCCUGAUGGAGAGAAAGAGCUUUUGAGUCACCAGCCAAGGCCUCAAAGACAACCCUCUACCCCUUCAAGAGCAGGCAACCUCUGACUAUCUCAAGGGGAAAUUAAGUUGAAUUGGAAUUGAAAGCCAACACCUUUUCCAGAAAUGUGAAGAAUUCUGCUGCUUAGAUUCUGUGCUGGGCACAGAAUGGGUGAGUCUCUGGAGCUUCUCCAGGACCACCCUGCUUCUGACUCCCAGCCAGGUGUCUUCCAGACUCUAGUUCAAGAAAACACUUUUUAGAAAAGGCAUUUUAUCCAAUCUGCAUGAUUCCUGCAUGGUCCUGGGCCCACUUCAGUAUCCUGGGUUCUGUAACAAGGGUCAGUUACUCAGGUAAAGGGAAGAACUCUGCCUGUCACUCAGUGUGGGCUCUGUGUCUGUUGAGAAGACACAAUUUGAAACGGAUGCCUCUUAAGGUAUUCACCAUCUCUAUCUACUUAAUGGGUAGUUGAAGAACUGGGGUGGAAUAGCACCUUCACGGCAUCCAGAUGUAGACAGCAGCUACAGGAAGUGUGUGUGUGAUCUGUGUGCGGCUCUUCCACAUCCCACUCCUCUUCAGUGUGGCUCCACUAAGCAAGCAUCCAAGAACCCUAGGAGCAGAGUCAUCUCCAGCCUCCUCUGCUGCUUGUGUAAUUGCUGAUCCUGUCACCAAUCAUCGCCUAGGAAAGUCUACACUGAGCUGUGUGUCUCCCUACACCCUCUCUGUGUGACUGGCUAUCUCACGGAGUCAGCAGGGAGCACUCUAGUCUUCUCAACAGCAGCCUUCUUGCUCUUCUUUUAUUUUUUAUUUUUGGUUUUUCAAGACCAGGUUUCUUUAUAUAGCACCGGCUAUCCUGGAAAUCACUCUGUAGACCAUACUGGCCACCUGCCUUUGCUUCCUCAAUGCUGGGAUUAAAGGUGUGUGCCACUCCACCCCUCCUCCGCUGCCCCCACCACCACCACCUGGAAAGCACUCCUUGCUGUUCUGGCCAUUUUAUACUUUGUGAUCAGAUCUCCCAGACUGCUUUGAGGACUGACUCCUUGUUACGAUUUCCUUUCUCGUACUCAGUCGUAUGCCAACUCAUUUUUCAUGUAAGCUUUAAAAUCCCGCAUCUUUCCUUAUUUUGUAGUUGAGGAUAGUAAGACACAGGAAACUGAGUAUCUCCUGUACACAGCUGGAUGGGCACUUGUUUCACUGAAUCCUCUGUUCCUCCUGUCUUGAAACAUGUGAGAGAAACAGACAGAAAUAGAGAGAGUGCAUGCAAGUUUAUUCAUUGAGAAAGUCAUUGAAUGUUUUACUCAAGGGAAUAAAAACAAGAUAAAGCAUGAGUAUUUGUAGAGACCCCUAUCACAUUAGAUAUUUUUAUUGUUAAUGAUCCCGUUAUUGCUUGUUAUUGACACAGGGUCUCAGUAGCCCAGGUUGGUUUUGAACUCACUGUAUAGUUGAGGCUGGCCUUGAACUCGUCAUCCUUCUGUGUCCAUCGUCUUCCAGGUUCUGGGGUUACAAGCAUGUGCCUCCAUGCUGCUAUGCCUGGUGAGGCACUUUUUAUUUGGCAUUUAUUUGAGCUUUCUAUCAGGUUUCCAUCAUCUAAAUGAAUUAAUAUGGGAACUGAUAGCUCAAUAGAUUGUACUUCGCUUUCUAAAGAUUGCACUUCUGGGAGGAACCGUGCUUGGGAUCCAGGCCUGACUUAGUCAGGAGCCAUUCCACUAUGCCAUAUCCCUAGAGUUAUGUGGAUAGAUAGCAUCAUCCUGGACUCUAGAGAGGAAACCCAGUAAAGUAGACUGCAGUAGUCACAGGACAUGACAGGGAUGUCCUGCUGCUCCUGUGAGCCUGCCCUGUGGCUCUCCUUUCAGCUCUGAGAAUAUUUUCAGUCUGAUGUGACAGUAAGGGAAAAUCCAGGGCCUUGGUGUAGUGUUGAGAAUGGGACACCCAGUGUGCACGUGCUACAUACACUAUCUGAUAUAUGGCUGUGACCUGGAGUGUAGAGAGAUGGUGGUGGCAAAGACAAGGUGGUGGGUCAUCUUCUUUCUAUAGAGCAUUCUACAGAAACUCAUAGUCCAGCCUGACUAUGGGACAAAUACUAAACAAAGGAUAGACAGACAAUAAGCUCCCAGGAAACACUCCAUUCUAGUUUUUCUGGGCAUCAAUUUAGGAGCUGGUUUGCCCUCCAGGUGGCCUUCUGAACAGAGGUGGGGAAAGAGACAAUAAGAAGGGAAUUUACAAUUGUUGACCAAAGGUAACCUGGUUAGGAUAUAAUCUUUCCUUUUUGCUUGUUCUGAGCCUUCAUUCAUUGUAUUUGUCUUUGAAGAAACUGCCACUGUGAUUGUUCCUACUUCCUCCCCUCCCCCUAGGGAACUGACAUGGGUUCACUGUAAAUUGUCAUAACUUGCUUUUUUCUGCCUUUCGAAACCUGAGGUGGGCUUGCAAACUGGUAAAGUGAUUUAAAUAUGAAAAACAGCCAUUGAACUCUGGGUUUUGUUUCUUCUUUAAAGAGUACAAAGUGACUUUCAAAGAGAUCAGGAUGAACUAACCGAUGCUAUUUUACCAAUUCUCCCAAGAAAGCAAAACCCCAAGAAAGAGCAGAAAAUGAUAAAAAAUUAAUGUCAGAUUGGCGCCACAAGAUUCCCAGGACUUUUGACUUCCACACUCAUACGCUCCUUCUUUCAUGAGUUGCUUGGGAACUCCACCUUCUUCCUGUUGGACAAGGGUGGAAGAGUCGGUCCACCCACAGGACUUUGAUUUCCAGGAAUGUCAGCAAAAUAAAAACUAUAAUAGUGUCCUCUUAACAGUGGACAGGACAGGCUGUGGGGUUUUCUUGAUAGCACCUGACUACAUGCUACUCUGGUACAGCUGGGAGUGACCUACUUUGUUCCUUCAUUACAAGGUUUUGCUUGGGAAGUAACAAAUUACAAGAUGAGAGGCUCUGAUGUUAAAACUCAUCCCUGAAACUCAGUAAGGCUUCUCUGUGUCAAAUCCCUAGGCCCAGGUUCAUGAAUUUUGUUUAUGUAUUCAUUUAUUAAUAAGGUAGGUCGUGCUGAGACAUGGAUAAAAAAUUAAAACAUAAAUUCAUCAGAAGGACCCAUCAUGGAGCUAGAUUAAAAUUCAAAACCUCUGAAUUUCCCAACACCUCCUGCCACAGAAUAACAAGGUCAUUACUAAUCGCAAACAAAGAGUGCUCUCUCUUCUCCCCAAUAGCAGGCAGGAAAGCAGACCUGAGAAUACUUACAUAGCUUAAAAACAUCACUCCCAACAUCCCAAACCAAAACAAAAGCUACUUGCUAAAGAGCCAAACAAACAGAGAAGUCAGCCCCCAGCAAACCCUGGUGAGCUGCCAAACCCAGUUUCUGGCUGCUUGCCUUGUGGGAAUUACGUAAUUCCCAGACAAGGGCUCUCCACUGAUAAUCUCAGGCUCUCCUUAGACUUUUACUCCUGGGAACUGACAGCAAAAAUGAGGUGAGAAUCUCGCUUCCACCAGUGUAACAAGGAUGCUGAUUUUUAUUAGGUCAUUUUGUCAGUGGGGUAGUUAGAGAAGGUGUGGAAGGAAAUGCCAUAUUUAUGAGGUUAUAGAACAAAUUCUAUUUUUCACGCCCUAAAAGUAAUUAGAGUAUCCAUGUUGACACUCAGUUAACCAUGCCUCCAGCGCUCAAAGGCCAAUAAAUGUGAAUACCCAACCCAGGAGGUACUGUUAACCCCCUUCAUCCUUCACAGCGGGACAGCAAGAUCUGGGCUGUGGUGCUAUUCCGGUGCUUAGCUCUGGAAAUGCAGAAGAUGAUGAGAGGUGAAGUUAGGAAGCUAGGAUCAGAGGCAGUGUUAGUGACCAGCGCAGACAAGAUACCUUCCAGAUGCUCCACUGAUAAUACCUACAAUGACUCCAUAACCUGUUGUUCUAAAAGGAAUCUCAACUUGCUGGGAAUUGAACAUGGCGAGUGCUGACUUGAGUUUCAUUGACUCUAAAGCCCUACCCACACCCACUGGGGGAUUUCACCUUUUCACCUGAAAGUGUCUCAUGCUGUCACUCACUCCAUGGGGUCUGCCUUUAUAGGAAUUUAUUCCUAAGAUCAAGGCCUACACAUUCCCGUCUGUGCAGUUUCAGCACAACAAGCCACCUGCAGCCAUUUAAAUGUAAACCAAGAUGCAAUAAGAAGGGCGGCACAGUUUCUCUGCCUCUUCAGUCACAUUCCUGAGUACGUUGGAACCACAUGUAGCCAGUGCAAACACAGUAGAAUGUUCCGGUCUUCAUAGGAAAUUUUGUUGGACAGCACUGGAGCUGUGGAGCUGGACAGCUAUGGGACCUUCGUAGUCUUUUUUAAAGAUUUAUUUAUUAAUUUUAUGAAUAUGAGUACACUGUAGCUGCCUUCAGACACACUAGAAGAAAGCAUUCGAUCCCAAUACAGAUGGUUGUGAGCCACUAUGUGGUUGUUGGGAAUUGAACUUGGGGCCUUUAGAAGAGCAGUCUCUCCAGCCCCGAGCUUCAUGGUUUUA